GACGAACGCUGGCGGCGUGCUUAACACAUGCAAGUCGAACGGAAAGGCCCUGCUUUUGUGGGGUGCUCGAGUGGCGAACGGGUGAGUAACACGUGAGUAACCUACCCUUGACUUUGGGAUAACUUCAGGAAACUGGGGCUAAUACCGGAUAGGAGCUCCUGCUGCAUGGUGGGGGUUGGAAAGUUUCGGCGGUUGGGGAUGGACUCGCGGCUUAUCAGCUUGUUGGUGGGGUAGUGGCUUACCAAGGCUUUGACGGGUAGCCGGCCUGAGAGGGUGACCGGCCACAUUGGGACUGAGAUACGGCCCAGACUCCUACGGGGGGCAGCAGUGGGGAAUAUUGCACAAUGGGCGGAAGCCUGAUGCAGCAACGCCGCGUGCGGGAUGACGGCCUUCGGGUUGUAAACCGCUUUCGCCUGUGACGAAGCGUGAGUGACGGUAAUGGGUAAAGAAGCACCGGCUAACUACGUG
rnacentral:rRNA from 1 species